UACGUAGGGUGCAAGCGUUAUCCGGAAUUAUUGGGCGUAAAGAGCUCGUAGGCGGUUUGUCGCGUCUGCUGUGAAAACUGGAGGCUCAACCUCCAGCCUGCAGUGGGUACGGGCAGACUAGAGUGCGGUAGGGGAGAUUGGAAUUCCUGGUGUAGCGGUGGAAUGCGCAGAUAUCAGGAGGAACACCGAUGGCGAAGGCAGAUCUCUGGGCAGUAACUGACGCUGAGGAGCGAAAGCGUGGGGAGCGAACAGG
rnacentral:rRNA from 1 species